GAGGAAGUCUCACUCUGUCACCAGGCUGGAGUGCAGCGGUGUGAUCUUGGCUCACUGCAAUUUCCACCUCCCAGGUUCAAGAGAUUCUCCUGCCUCAGCCUCCUGAGUAGCUGGAAUUACAGGCAUGCACCACCACACCCAGCAAAUUUCUGUAUUUUUAGUAGAGACGGGGUUUCACCAUGUGGGCCAGGAUGGUCUUGAUAUCCUGACCUCAUAAUCCGCCUGCCUCAGCCUCCCAAAGUGCUGGGAUUACAAGUGUGAGACAGCGCGCCCGGCUGAAAAGAGGUAUAAUUUAAAACUCAAUUUUUUUUUUUUUUUUGAGAUGGAGUCUUGCUCUGUCGCCCAGGCUGGAGUGCAGUGUGGCGAUGUCAGCUUACUGCAACCUCCACCUCCCAGCCUGGACGAUGGGGUGAGACUCCAUCUCAAAAAAAAAAAAAAAAAAAAGACAGAAAAGAAAAAGAAAAAAAAUCCUUCAAGUUUAAAAGUAGACCAUGGAACAGUUUUUAUUUAAUUACUGUAAUUCCAUUUAAAAACAAGGCUGGGUGUGGCGGCUCAAACCUGUAAUCCCAACACUUUGGGUGGCCAAGGUGGGUGGAUUACCUGAGCUCAGGAGUUAGAGACCAGCCUGGCCAACACUACUAAAAA
rnacentral:lncRNA from 10 species